ACAAAAGCCUGCAGCCACAGUGGGUCUCCAGGACUGACUUUAAGAACCCCUGAAAUAAACCAUUAGAAAGUUUUGAUUGGAGGAGAAUGUGCCAGAAGAUAUUGAUGCUACUUCCUGUUCUGUCCCUUUCUCAUCUAACAUAUUUUGUUUAUUGGAAUGGCUGCAGGAAGGAGCAUAUCAUCACCUGAAGCUUUAUUAAAGGACCACCUUGCCAAACUGCAAAUGAAAUGAGGUUAUUAGCAGCUGGUGACCCCAAAUAAUUGACAUUUUCAACAUAUUU